CCGCCAUUUUGGGUGCCUCUGGCUUCAGUGCUUCAAGCUGCGAGGUCCGAAAAGGCCCAAGAGGACAGAAACACAUCAGAGACGCCUUUUGCAUAUUUGUUGGCAAAAUGGUAGUUUUUUUUAUGUCUGAGAGAACUUAUACGAGAUUCAGCUUUAGAUUAGAUUUGGAUUUGGAUAGGAUAAUGGACAAUGGAUGGAAACGUUCAGAGCUACUGUAUGAACUGGAUCCAUCACCUAAAAUUAUCUGCAGGUCUCCUGGCACAGUUUUGGAAGAACGAAGAGUACCACUGCUUGCUUUGACUUAGAAGAACAACUUAGACCUCUGUGAGGACCAGCCAGAAUCUUUGAUCAGAUAUAUUGGUCAAAAAUAUUCAGUUACUUUACCUUUUCUCCCAGUAAGCUAUUGCUGCAUCCUCAAAGCCAUCUUUAUGCUAAAGCUGCUUUGAUGGCCAUUAGUAUCUUGUGGAGUUUGGUGUCAUUAUCCACAAAGCCAUCUCCAUUCUGGCAGAAAGAAAAGAGAAUUAGAAGUGUUCCAUUAACAUUUCAAGGAAACAAAUCAUUAUUGACAAAAUUGGCGGUGCAUUGCUGCUCUGUUCUGGUCACUCUUCCAAAGAGAAGGAAGAUGUGGAAGAUGGUUGACAGCACAGCAGAGCUCCCCAAAGAAAAGGGCAGAUGACAACAACUGGAGACCACCAAACCCAACUAGCAACUGGUUCUGCUAUGAAAGAAGUAUCUGCCUCUUUAAUACCUGGUUUGUGGAUCUUCCAAGUCAGGCUCUUUGAGAGAGGCAUGGCUGAGUAGGAAAGUCACUUAUGCCACCAAAACAAUCUAUUCCGCCAUUCCUGGCCCUCUGAAAGUCUCUGAGUAUCCACAAAAUAUGACUCAGAGACCCACAGACUCAAGCAUUCAGGAAGCUCUUGGCUCUGACUCCUAAGGUCGAGGCAGUAGGAACCAAGACCUUCACACUGCUUCUAGGCCUCGAUCUUAGGAGUGGGAAGGCUACAAAUCAGAUAAUUCUAGAAAGCUAUGAAGAUGACACCUGCAAGGGUAGGGCAGGAGCAACAAUUUUCCUUUCACACCCAACGCCCUAAUGCUUUGGGCACUGGUAACCUAAGAGGCUAAUGAAAAACUUGAUUCAGCAAGGAAAAUUUCAGAUUUAAUUAUUUGACAAAAAAAACCCCUCUGACUACAGGCCAGCAUCUUUUACUACAAAGCUGGCAUUUCAUCCUAAUGAUAUACUGCAAAGAAUGUAAAGCAAGCAGUAUUAUCAAAUUCUUUCACGGCCAGAAUCACUGGAGUGUUGUAUGCUUUUUGGGCUAUGUGACUGUGUUCUAGCAGAUUCACUCCUGUUGUUUCGCCAGCAUCUACGGCUGGCAUCUUGAGGGUCCUCUAAAGAUAUCAGCCACAGAUACUGGACUCCCUUUGCCCAGGAACCCUCACUAUUUGUCGUGUUAGCCAAGCCAGUGCAACAAUGUCUGGAAAUUCAAGAUUGGGAACUACUCUUUACUGAAUUACUUGUCUUUGAUAGGUUAUUAUCACCUCAAAGCUAUUUUUCCUCUUAUAAGAAAGUAGGGAGGGAAAUAAACUUGUCAAUUUCUCAACUGGAAUCAAAUCUGAAAUCCCAAUCCCUCAAAAAAUUAGGUAGGAACAUUAUACUGAAAGUAACCACAAACUGGAAUUUUUUGCUGUUAUUGUGGACACAACAUAGACAAUGAACUUUCUAAGAAACAGCAUGUGUUCCAGAAAUUUUGCAGUUUUGCAAUAAAAACUAACCAUCUUUUUUAUUUGGCAGUGAAAACUGAAAAAACUCCACCUCCUAUCUGCAUGCCUUAUUUUGCGAUGAAUGUACAAGGGCAAAGUGCACAAAAUGUAAUACUAAAUUGUACGUUAUAUACUUAUGCAAACAAUGAGAUAACAAGUUUGAGAUUGUGGCUGCAACCUUUGCUGUUUUCAAGGAUGCACAACUCAAACAUUACACAGCAGGAAAAAACCCUCAAACUGACUAAAACCACAAAGCUUUGUUAUGCAGGAUUUCUGGAUUCUGCAGAACAUUUUUUAUUUCUUCUUGCAUACAUUUUAGCAGUCUUGCACAAAAUACACACGUGGCUGCCUCAAAAUAGCAUAUUUUUAAAUCAAACUCUAUCAUUUGAAAGUUCUGAAAUUUCCUUUCCAUACUAAAAACUGUUGAGUUCUCAGGAAAGCCAUGUGGCUUCUAGAAAACUAGUUUUUUAAGAAAGCGAGACAGUUUUCCUAAGGAGGAAAAAGACUUACCUUUUUGGAGUGCACCAGCUUCCCUGCCACUGUCACUUCGAACCAUCCUGUGACCUGAGGUGUCCCUUCUCCAGUCUAGAUAGAAAAAAGGAAAAUAAAGAGACGUCCCCUUAAGAAACAAUUCCACAGUUUGGAUUACUGAUUUGAUGAGAACAUCAAACUCCCUCCACUCUUAGCCCUGGUAUUGCUACAUACUAGCUGUAAGAAAUGGGACAUCCUCAUUCCAUCAACUAUACAGACAGUCCCCUGGGCUGUAUGGCCAUGUUCCAGAAGCAUUUUCUCCUGACAUUUCACCCACAUCUAUGACAAGCAUCCUCAGAGGUUGUGAGGUUUGUUGGAAACUAGGUAAGUGGGGUUUAUAUAUCUGGAAUGUUCAGAGUGGGACAUAAACCCCACUUGCCUAGUUUACAACAAACCUCACAACCUCUGAGGAUGCCUGCCAUAGAUGUGGGCAAAAUGUCAGGAGAGAAUGCUUCUGGAACACAGCCAUACAUCCCUGAAAACUCACAGCAUCUCUUUCUAUAAAGUAGGCGAGAUAUUUCCUUGACAGAUUUUUUUUAUCCUUUAUGAGCGAAGGUCAGAAGCCGUUCUGCAUAACAGUGCACCUUAUACUUCAUAUUGAAGGACUAAUAAAAGGUGAAAUGCCUUUUUUCCUGCCUGCAGUAUUGACACAGUUCCUCAUUCAUAAAUCACAAAGAAGCAACAGGACUCAACCAACACCAAGUGCAUAUACUUACAAUUUCCAGCUUGCCCGGAAACUCUUUUUCGAGUCCCCUCUUGAGCUGCUGAUACUAACAAAGAAAGAAGAGAGUAGUUUUAGAGUGCAGAAACACCCAAGUCCAUGUGGAAUUCUUGGGGGAAAUUGAUCCCUUCCCAUUGGAGAUCAUAAAACAAUGUUCCUUUUUUCUCUGGAUCCCUAAUUCAGAUUUGAAGAUGGUCUGUGGCUAAUAAUGACUAUGCCUUAAAGGGCACAGUUGUUGAAAGUAUUGUCAACUUAACAACAGCAUCCAUUAAGCUACUUGUGUUCUUCUAGGUAGGCCAAAAAGUUACAUUCAUUUUUAAUGCAUGUCAAGUUGAAGAAUCAGCUUACCUUGGGACUGUAUCCUCAAGCACCACUGGAAAAUAAUAAUAAUAAAUAGUUACUAGAAGAAAUACUCAAGAGAUCGUACAAGAUGAGUCACAUUUGUAGCACAGGUGAACUAAAAAAGUGCUAUUCCGCAAAGUUGUGGUCUAUACAGUUUCCAGGAAAGAAUGGGCACAAAUUGGCAUAAUGAACUGAAAACACAACUGAACACUCCUCACAUAAGAUAGUUUGAGAAACACUGAGCAAAAAGAUUUCUAAAGGUUCUAGUACAAGAACCAAGGCAAGGACCUGAGAUAUUUCCUCUUUUCACCCUACAUCCUAAGAGCAAACUUGAGUCCGAAUAAUAACCCUUUGGAGAAGUUUAUUUGCAGCAUAAAUUUACACCAGAGUUAUGCUAUGCCCAAAUUGUACUGGUCUGUCCCAGUUUACCUGGUCAUGGAUGAUACAAUAUUUAAUGUAUCUCAUAAAGCAUUCUCUAGUUCAGUGUUAUAUAUACCAGGGACCAGGACUACAUCUGUACCAGUUUUGCUGCAUAUUUUGUUUCCUUCCCGAGAAACUUGCCACAGACUAGAAGGGAUUAGUACCCCUUAGGGCACAAAUUUUGGAAGUUUGUGCCACAAUAAAUGCACUCACCUUUCAGAGGUCUCAAAGGAAUUUCUCUGUUGCCUGUAAGCUAGGCUAGAGCCAUUUUUUACUGUUUCUAAGCAACCCUCUUGUGUGAAGAAAGACCAAAAAAAAAAAAAAAAAGGAAACACAGCUAACAAAGCAUCUCCAAGAAAAAAGGAGAAAGGAGUAGCUUAUCACAUCAUAAACUUUUGUGAACUUCAGCUCACUUUGGAAACUGCAGUGUGGAUAAACGGCCCUAUCAGGAUAGCCCUGUUUAGCAACAAAGAGCAUCCGGAAAAAUAAAAAAAGACUCAUGCACUUAUUAUAGCCUUGUAGAUUUAACUUGGAAUUUUAUCAUUUGGUUCCAACCACUGUAGCCAGAUUGGCUCACUAAGGUUUACAAAAGCAUGCUGACGCCACAUUCAACAAUAAAUUGUUAUUGUUUUAAUUGUCAUUGUGUUAGCAGGUUUGCAUUUAACUGAUUUUAAGUGUAUAGUGAUUAUGCUGCUUAAUAACACUGGCAUUUUGUCAGUGGAAAUAAUAAUAAUAAAGGUUGAGUACUCCUUAUGUGAAA